GACGAACGCUGGCGGCGUGCUUAACACAUGCAAGUCGAACGGAAAGGCCCUGCUUGCAGGGUGCUCGAGUGGCGAACGGGUGAGUAACACGUGGGUGAUCUGCCCCUUACUUUGGGAUAAGCCUGGUAAACUGGGUGUAAUACUGGAUAGGACCAUGCUUGAGGUGGUGUGGUGGAAAGAUUAGUUUCGGUAUGGGAUGAGCUCUCGGCCUAUCAGCUUGUUGGUGGGGUAAUGGCCUACCAAGGCGUCGACGGGUAGCCGGCCUGAGAGGGUGGGAGGCAAGAUCGGGACUGCGAGGCGGGCCAGACGCAGACGGGAGGCAGCAGUGGGGAAUAUUGCGAAGUAGGAGCAAGGCGGAUGCAGCGACGCUGCGUGGGGGAUGACGGUCUUCGAGUUGGAAACUACUUACAGCCAUGUCGAAGCGCUUGUCGUGACGGUAGUGGUAGAAGAAGCACCGGCUAACUACGUG
rnacentral:rRNA from 1 species